rnacentral:rRNA from 1 species
AGAGUUUGAUCCUGGCUCAGGAUGAACGCUAGCUACAGGCUUAACACAUGCAAGUCGAGGGGCAGCAUGAACUUAGCUUGCUAAGUUUGAUGGCGACCGGCGCACGGGUGAGUAACACGUAUCCAACCUGCCGAUGACUCGGGGAUAGCCUUUCGAAAGAAAGAUUAAUACCCGAUGGCAUAGUUCUUCCGCAUGGUAGAACUAUUAAAGAAUUUCGGUCAUCGAUGGGGAUGCGUUCCAUUAGGUUGUUGGCGGGGUAACGGCCCACCAAGCCUUCGAUGGAUAGGGGUUCUGAGAGGAAGGUCCCCCACAUUGGAACUGAGACACGGUCCAAACUCCUACGGGAGGCAGCAGUGAGGAAUAUUGGUCAAUGGACGAGAGUCUGAACCAGCCAAGUAGCGUGAAGGAUGACUGCCCUAUGGGUUGUAAACUUCUUUUAUACGGGAAUAAAGUGAGGCACGUGUGCCUUUUUGUAUGUACCGUAUGAAUAAGGAUCGGCUAACUCCGUGCCAGCAGCCGCGGUAAUACGGAGGAUCCGAGCGUUAUCCGGAUUUAUUGGGUUUAAAGGGAGCGUAGGCGGACGCUUAAGUCAGUUGUGAAAGUUUGCGGCUCAACCGUAAAAUUGCAGUUGAUACUGGGUGUCUUGAGUACAGUAGAGGCAGGCGGAAUUCGUGGUGUAGCGGUGAAAUGCUUAGAUAUCACGAAGAACUCCGAUUGCGAAGGCAGCCUGCUGGACUGUAACUGACGCUGAUGCUCGAAAGUGUGGGUAUCAAACAGGAUUAGAUACCCUGGUAGUCCACACAGUAAACGAUGAAUACUCGCUGUUUGCGAUAUACAGUAAGCGGCCAAGCGAAAGCGUUAAGUAUUCCACCUGGGGAGUACGCCGGCAACGGUGAAACUCAGAGGAAUUGACGGGGGCCCGCACAAGCGGAGGAACAUGUGGUUUAAUUCGAUGAUACGCGAGGAACCUUACCCGGGCUUAAAUUGCAACAGAAUAUAUUGGAAACAGUAUAGCCGUAAGGCUGUUGUGAAGGUGCUGCAUGGUUGUCGUCAGCUCGUGCCGUGAGGUGUCGGCUUAAGUGCCAUAACGAGCGCAACCCUUAUCUUUAGUUACUAACAGGUUAUGCUGAGGACUCUAGAGAGACUGCCGUCGUAAGAUGUGAGGAAGGUGGGGAUGACGUCAAAUCAGCACGGCCCUUACGUCCGGGGCUACACACGUGUUACAAUGGGGGGUACAGAAGGCAGCUACACGGCGACGUGGUGCUAAUCCCGAAAGCCUCUCUCAGUUCGGAUUGGAGUCUGCAACCCGACUCCAUGAAGCUGGAUUCGCUAGUAAUCGCGCAUCAGCCACGGCGCGGUGAAUACGUUCCCGGGCCUUGCACUCACCGCCCGUCA